UUGUCUUCAGGGCAGGGAGCGUUUCCCGACCGGCGGUAAAGUCCGCGAGCUUCAGCAUGAACCGGUGAAAUUCCGGUACCGACAGUAGAGUCUGGAUGAGAGAAGAU
rnacentral:ncRNA from 1 species